GACGAACGCUGGCGGCGCGCCUAACACAUGCAAGUCGAACGAGCGAGAGAGAGCUUGCUUUCUCAAGCGAGUGGCGAACGGGUGAGUAACGCGUGAGGAACCUGCCUCAAAGAGGGGGACAACAGUUGGAAACGACUGCUAAUACCGCAUAAGCCCACAGGUCGGCAUCGACCAGAGGGAAAAGGAGUAAUCCGCUUUGAGAUGGCCUCGCGUCCGAUUAGCUAGUUGGUGAGGUAACGGCCCACCAAGGCAACGAUCGGUAGCCGGACUGAGAGGUUGAACGGCCACAUUGGGACUGAGACACGGCCCAGACUCCUACGGGAGGCAGCAGUGGGGAAUAUUGCACAAUGGGGGAAACCCUGAUGCAGCGACGCCGCGUGGAGGAAGAAGGUCUUCGGAUUGUAAACUCCUGUUGUUGAGGAAGAUAAUGACGGUACUCAACAAGGAAGUGACGGCUAACUACGUG
rnacentral:rRNA from 1 species